UCCGUCAGGCUUCAGACCCCUGGCAUGCUGCCUGCACCCCAUUCUCUGUCAUUUUUUUUCUUCUUUUCCUUACAAGUUGUUGUUGUUGUUGUUUCUUUUUAAUGAUUCAACUGUUUUUGUUUCAAGCCACGAGUUUUCCCACUUCCGCCCUUCCGAUUGUCUCCCCGUCCCACUGGGGGCGGGGGAGCGAGUGAGCGGUCGCGUGGGGCUUCGUUGCCGGCUGGCGUUAAACCACGACACGAGAGGCCACGCUGUGGGUGCGGUUGUCUGUUCGUCCCCUGGGGAUGCCGUUGACUGCAGCAGCCUCAGGCUUGCGUGGGCUGUCUCUGCCUGGCCUCCCUCUCCUCGCGGCGCGGGAGCGCAGAGGGACAGGUGGAGCGCUUACUGGCUGUGGACAGGAGCUGCUGAAGCUGACGCUGAAGCUGGAGAGGCCACAGAAUGGUAAAGCUGCUGAAGAAUAAAAUAAAGAGGAUCCAGCCACCAGCUGCAGACAGGAGAUAGCCUGCCUCUCCAGGUGGAUGACAGUCAAGUGAGUGCAGCUACAGAGGAGGAAGGGAGAGGGAGAGAGAGACAGACAUGUCUGAACUGUCAAAUUCUCCCAGCAGCUCCAACAGCAGGAGCCUGCAGUGAAGACCAUGGUGACACAGGCUGUCCCCCUGCAGCCCACGGAGGUCCAUGGCGGAGCAGAUAUGCACCCUGCAGCCGACGGAGGACCCCUCGCCAGAGCAGGCGGAUUCACCCGAAGGAGGCUGUGACGCUGUGGAGAGGAGCCCACACUGGAGCAGGUUUUCUGGCAGGACCUGCGGCCCCAUGGGAGUGACACCACACUGGAACAGAAGAAGAGCACAAAGAAGGAAGGAGCAGCAGAGACAACUUGUGAUGAACUGACUGCAACCCCCCGCUCCUUCUCCCCCUGUGCUGCUCGGUAGGAGGAGGUAGAGAAGUCAGGAGUGAAGAUGAGCCCAGGAAAAAAAGAGAGGGGUGGGGGGAAGGUGUUUUUCAG